UACGAAGGGGGCGAGCGUUGUUCGGAAUUAUUGGGCGUAAAGGGUAGGUAGGUGGUCUCAUUUGUCUGAGGUGAAAGCCUCGAGCUUAACUCGAGAAGUGCCUCGGAAACGGUGAGACUAGAGUCUUGGAGAGGGUCGUGGAAUUCCCGGUGUAGCGGUGAAAUGCGCAGAUAUCGGGAAGAACACCCGUGGCGAAGGCGGUUCUCUGGGACGGUACUGACGCUGAGACGCGAAAGCGUGGGGAGCGAACAGG
rnacentral:rRNA from 1 species